CUCAGCGGCUUCGAGUCCCAGCGUCCCAGCCGCGGCCCGCCUCGCACCCCCUCCUCUAACUCCAGUUCUCGGGGCACCCUAGCCCCCUCCUUCCAGACGCUCCUAGGCUCGGGCAGCGGCCCCCUCCCCACUAGCCCCUACGCGGCCACAUCCCCAACUCUAGGCUCACUCCUAAGGACGCGCGUCCUCGUCCCAUCCUUUCUUCCUUCCCUCGCGCCCGCCCUCCCUUUCCAGGUUUCCCUCCGGGGUCCCGAUUGUCUCCGACCCCUUCUUGGUCCGCCCGUGCCGCGCCCAGCCCCGUCCCGCUCGCAUUUCCUGAGUCGCUCGCCGUCUCGCAUCGCCGCGCCGCGGGAGCGGAGCCGCCGCUGCCCAGGCUCCAGCCCCCGCAGCCCGCGGCGCCCGCGGCAGGGAAAAGUGGGCGAGUGCGCCCUCGCCCAGCCCCGCGCCCCAGCCCUGCCCGGCGAAGAAGGACCGGGAAGAUGAACAACGGCGGCAAAGCUGAGAAGGAGAACACGCCGAACGAGGCCAACCUUCAGGAGGAAGAGGUCCGGACCCUAUUUGUCAGUGGUCUCCCCCUCGACAUCAAACCUCGGGAGCUCUAUUUGCUUUUCAGACCGUUUAAGGGCUAUGAGGGUUCUCUUAUAAAGCUCACAUCUAAGCAGCCUGUAGGUUUUGUCAGUUUUGACAGUCGCUCAGAAGCAGAAGCUGCAAAGAAUGCUUUGAAUGGCAUCCGCUUCGAUCCUGAAAUUCCGCAAACACUACGACUAGAGUUUGCUAAGGCAAACACGAAGAUGGCCAAGAACAAACUAGUAGGGACUCCAAACCCCAGUACUCCUCUGCCCAACACUGUACCUCAGUUCAUUGCCAGAGAGCCAUAUGAGCUCACAGUGCCUGCACUUUACCCCAGUAGCCCUGAAGUGUGGGCCCCGUACCCUCUGUACCCGGCGGAGCUAGCGCCUGCUCUACCUCCUCCUGCUUUCACCUAUCCCGCUUCACUGCAUGCCCAGAUGCGCUGGCUCCCUCCUUCUGAGGCUACUUCUCAGGGCUGGAAGUCCCGUCAGUUCUGCUGAAUACUAUGUUCCAGGUGUGUGAUGGUGGCUGCAAUUUGUCUUGUGGGUAUUAAUGCAAUCUCCAAUGGUGGCUACUGCUCUUGAGCUGUUCUACAAAACUGGAGCGUGCUGGCUUGAAAAACAUUGCCCAGUUUUGAUCCCUUCAAGACUUUGCCACAGCCUUUCAUCACACAUCUGUUUUUCUUGAAGAAAAAAAAUAUAAUAAAAAAUUGUUUUACUCUUUUACACUGUAUAAUUUUAAGACAUAGUGUGUUAUUUGUGAACGCAUGGUCUAACAUUUCUGUAUAGUUUUGAGAUAUUCAAACAAAACAGAAAAUUGGCCAACAAUGAAGCCAAAAGAGUAUUUUUAUACCAGACAUUUUAAGUAUGAUAGGAUGGGUGAUCUUAAAACUGUAUAGAGUACAAUUGUUGUGCUUGACCUUCAAAUGCCUAUAAUUAAGAAGUACCUUUUUUCCUAAUGUACAUCAAAAUUGCCAGAAUAAUUAUGAAUAUCUGGAGUCCAGGGUAAUUUGUAGUGUGGCAUUAGGCACUGAAAUGUGCUACUGCAGAUAGCUACAUUCUAGUCAGCCACCCCUCCAGGAGCUUCUACCAUAAUAACAUAUACACAAAGAAAACUUUUCCUGAUCAGUGUGUCCUUAGAAAACUCUGAAGACUCCAGAGUUGACUGUUACAAUACUUCCCAAGUAUUCACUUUUCUCACAUUAUCUAUCAGCAAACUCCCAUGUGUGACCUACUUACAGUACAGCUUUUCGUGCCUUGGGAGUUCAGCCAACCUAACUUGCAACGGGCAAGUGAUUUUAUAAAACAUCAGUAGUGAUGAUGCAUUUCUAAUGAGUCUUGUUCAGUUUCCCAUGUGGAAAAUUGUAUAUUGACCUAAGAAUUUUCAGUUGCUAAUGAAGCUGCAUAUAUCACAAUCAUUUUUACUUAAAACUGGUUAGUUUCAUUAUUUUCCAGUAUAAAUUGUCAGUAAGCUUUUCAAGGUUACCACCAAAAUGAGGGGCUCUUACCUUUGCUAUAAAAGAGAAGAAAAGGCAUAAACAGCAUGUUCAAGCCCUGAAUAGGCCUCCGGUGCCGCCUGACUCUCGGUAAAGACAUCUGUGCUCUUGUUUCUAAGGAAAACAGCA